UUGACUGAACUUUCCAAAUUUUUUAAUUGAAUUUAUACCAGGAUUAUGUUAUUCAUCAAAUUUUCGUAUCGACUUUUUAUGGGCGCUUUUAGUGCCAACUCGGAAAAUUCAAUGCUGAGCAACAUGAGUAAUAUAUCCUUGCAUACGAAGCAUGUCACAGAUAUCCAUAAGAUAGGCAAGGCCAGAGAGAACGUUUACUUUCGAAAACAACAAUACGAUCAACUACAAAAAUUAAAGAAAAUCAAUGAGGAGCAAAAGGCAAAAAUUAAUGAGAAAAUUGAUGAGUUAUAUGAAGAGAUUGAGGAGAUCUCGACAGAGAUUGAGAAAAUGAAAGAUGAUAAAUGAAUGGAAGUUCGACUCAAGCCUAACUAGACAUUUUUUUUUUAAAUUAGAAUGCUGCCUGUGUUCAAGGCGCUUGAGUCCGUUCGGUUUGUCAAACCGAUCUUUGAUGCAAUUCCACAGGGCUCGAUUUUUAUCAUGUCUCGUCAUUAUACCAAGGAGAUUUAUGAGAGAGCCCGUGCCGUAGAGAAUGCGCAUUUUCUAAAAAUUCAAAAUGAGCAGCUCAGAAAUCUGCGGAACAAAAUUGCUAGAGAAAGAGGCCUGCGGGAGCAUAAAGUGGAAGCCAGUUUGCAAAUGAAGAGCCAAAAGACGGACAGCAAUCGGAAUUUGCAUCAGACUCAAAGUGUGAUAACCCAGCAAGCAGAUAAUUAAAAUGAUGUUUUUGUGAUAAAUUAGUAAAAUGAUUGUGGUAACGGGGCCAAGUCGCCGACUCGAUCACACAGAGGUGCGGUAAGGAAUAUCAUCAGGUUGCUGCAAAGGACAUAUCGACAGAGCCGCAUAACCGAAGAAGAAAAGGCGAAAAUUACCAAAGCAAAGAUCUCGGCUAUGUGGAGCAAACAAGUUGAGAAUUUAUUGCGGAAACGUGAAAUGUUGUCCCUCAUCAGGGAAUAUAUUGUGCUGCAGGAGCGCUAUGUGAGCUCAAGAUUGACAACGAACAAGCGGCUGCUCGCCCAUGCAAAAUACUUACAAGUCACCAGGAAAAGAUCUCCACUGUAGACAGAUAUAUAUGCUAGCCAUUGAAAUGGGAUAUGCCACGUUGCUUUACAGGAAGCGUUACAUAACAGAGGUAAACAAAAUAAAAAUAAAAACAGAAAAAUAAUGCUGC
rnacentral:misc_RNA from 1 species